UAAAAAGCCACAAAAUGUCCUGAUUUUCUGAGAACACAUUAGUUAUUCCUAAGAAAACAAGCAAUAUAUUGUAUGACGGCAUCAGAGCACGUGGUGGUGUUUGGGAGACAUUCUUGAUAACUAAUUUCAUUUGGUAUUUAUAGGAUGCUGUAGUUUGGUUUCAUUACAGGAUGCUGCUUUAGGUUGUUGAAUACAAGAAGGAAAGGCUGCAAAGACAGAGGAAACAGAGAGUAUGGAGAACAUAACGUGUUCUCCAAUGUAGACAGUACAUAUUCUUGUUGAGAACAUCGACAACAAGGAGCUCACUAGUGAAGGGAGCCAUCUGUGGAUGGGGAUCAGGGCAUCACUUGCAAGUGGGGUACACAGGUCAGAAGAGUGGUGAUGGGGAUGGGAACCUUGGCUUGGAGGCCAGGCCCAUGCAGCAGGGCAGAAGAAUCCGAGACAUCUCAGAGGGCUGGAAAGCACCAAGGCAGUGCUAGAGGGUUUUGAUAUGGUUUUGUCAGCUGCUGUAUUUUCCUGAAGAGGGAGGUGCAGCACAGAGGGAUACACAUAGAGCUUGAGCUGGUUUGGAGAAGUCCUCUCAGGGCAGGUGGGCUGAUGGGGUGGCACUGGCUUGGGUCAAGAAGGUGUUAAUGACAGCUAAUUGGCUCCAUUAGCCCCAACUUGCUCUGCUCCUGCAGCUGUGUGCUUGGGGAAGAUGAUAUAUGGGUGAGUGGGAGAAGCAGGUGGUUGUGUUGCACUGGGGUUCUUUAUGCAGGGUGGGAAAGGGGGGUGGUCUGUAGUGUGUGCUAGGGCCCAGGUGUCUGGAUGUGCUCAUCACUGAAGGUUCCUGGAUGACAAGCAACAGGAAACGUGGAUGUUGACACACAACUGUCGUGUUCCAAAGCCUCAGCCAAGAAGGAGAGUGUGUCCCAGACAAGACUAAUCUCAUAGCUCCUGUGCUCCAGGAUUGGCAGGUGGUUUCCCAUGGCGCUGGAAAGGUCUUGUUUCUUCACUGCAGGACAGAGAGAGAGGGAGAAGAGAUGGGUUACUUUGCUCUGCCUGGGGAAAUCCCACUGAACGUGAUAACGGAUCUCUACUCCAAAGGGGAAUUAAAACACCAGGAGGGAAAGGUUCUUAUUUUACAGCUAGAAAGCUGAGACAAAGUUCGCUGCAUGCCAACCGGCAAGUGGCAUUUUUGGACCGUGUCUAGUGGUGUCCAGAUCUGAGCCAUCAGGAGCCAAAGCUGGAAGACCUCGGCCAAAGCAGGCUGCCUGCAGGGCUGGACUACAACUGAAUGUCCUAAGUGGUGCGACAAGGCCGUCCUUCCCGAAGGCCGAGUCUCACAGCACCAUGGGGAAGUACAGACUGCUUUACACCCCGGCUCUCAGAGUAUGAACCUUGUCCUUAAGUGAAAGCAGUGCUAGGGAGUUGUACAGACCUGUGCUGCGAUGGUUCACACCUGUACAUCUUGGUUCAGGGCAGCAGUAAGAGGCAUUAGAGCAACAUUUUCUUGAGUUGCAAUGGACUGAAGUUAUGUUUAUGCCACCAUAGUGCUAACGGAGGAUAACAGCCACUAUUUGCUUGCAAAAGUUUCACAACAGUCAGCGUGAUCUGUCAUCGAGCACUGAGACCCCUGAACUUCUCUUCCUGCCAAGUUGCUUUUGGUUAGCCCUUGCACCCAGCUUUCCUUCUGGGUGUUCACAACGAAACCUUUUGCUGUACAACUGCCUUUCGUUUACUGGUGCCCUUUGAUUUUACCAUAAAACUAGAAUACCCCAAUGUGCUUUAAAAAGACCAGUUUCAAAGUAACACAUAUUAAAACCCAGUUUUACCUCAGUGUUUUGAAAAUGUUUUGAUGGAGCAAAACAUUAAGCUUAAUGUUAUCUUCAGCUUUAUUUCUUACUUAAAAACAAACAAACAAACAAAAUGGUCUGGCAGUUAACAGAACUCUAAUCCAGACCCUAGCAUUGGUCUGAUCCAAGCAGAGGCUGAGGAUGCUCCCCAGGCUGCAGAGGCUCUCAGGAAGAAUCAGGGAGCUGCUGCCCUCUUCCCUUCACCUCUCCUCUGCUGCUCUGACUUUAUUCACGUGACAGUCAGCAGAACAAGCCCUAGCACUUAUUCCUUCUGCACAGCAGCAGAAGAGUUUUCUCUGCCCUUAACUGACUGCCACAUAAAAUUGUUGUGCUAAAACAGCAGCCGAGGUGGUGGAGAGCAUACAUACCACUGAGAUUCUGCCAGGUAUUACAGCAAACCUGGAAAGUUGAUGUUAAACACUGAGAAAGACUGAAUCAACUGAUUUCCAGGAAACCAACCCUUUUUCUUUUUCAUGAACUUAGGUUAAUGUUUAAAGUUGAUUUUGAUUCAGUGUUUGGGGAAAGGGUGUGUGUGCAUGGGCAGGGAGGCAAGCUGAAUGCAGGUAAGGGAGCGCUUUGAAGUGCUUGGCAAUGACCUUUAGGUUUACCUUGGGUGACAUGAGAUUCAGGAAAACGAAUAUGCUCAGUCCCAUGGCAUCCUUUUUUUUUAAUGGCAAUAGAUAACCGAUAAGGAGACAAGCUGAUGUUAGAAGUGCAAUUUCCUGCAUAUUCUUCAAGUAGCCCAACAAAAUAAUGGCUUUUUUUUUUUUUUCUCAGCCUGCCUGUCAGUGCUGCUGAAGAAUUAUAUCUGUCUAUUUUUUCCCAGGAGGCAAAGCACAUGAAGAGAGUAUUUCUGUAUGGGAGGGCAAUAGACAGGGAUUGUGACAGCAAGCCAAGCUAAAAUAUAGAAGUAUUAUAAGGACUAUGAGGCUUAGAGCCAAUGAAGCGUUGCCUGAUACAGAAAGAGAGGAGUAAAAGAAAGUGAAAGUAUUUGUGUUCUGCCUUCAUCCUCCUCUGCUUUCAUCUCAUCUGCCUCGGGUGUCCGUCCAGGGACUGGGCUGCAUCCUGGCAAAAACUAAAGUAGCGCUUGGGUCAUGCUGAUUACAACAGCUUGGGGUAAGACCUCUCAGAGAUGAGGUGGUAACAGAGGGAAGCUUGUUUGAGGUAGAAGAUCAGAAAAUUUCCCAAAAAUGUCCUGGGCUCUUUUCCAUCUUGUGAAGUUUGGGGGAAAAUUGAGGAGAAGCUUCAUGAGAAUUUUUUUUUGCUGUGUACAAUGACGCACUUAAAAUGUCAGUGACACUCAAUUCUUCACUGUUUUUAAAUAACUAAAAGGCAUCUCGAAGUACAUGAUUUCAUAACUUCUAGAAUUAGGCAACUCUAAGUUUUGUAGCUAUAACCUUCCUUUUAGGCUAGCGCUCACUGUAAUGAUGCUCUCUGUUUCCAAGUUGGUUAUUUUUUUCUAUGCUUUAGAGAUAUGCCAAGAGGAAAAAAUGCAUGUUCAAAUGCCUUUGAAUACAGUAUAGCUCCUUUUCUAGCAGUAUUUGUAUUUGUCAUUGAUUUCUUAAAUAUAUGGAGCCGCACUUUCAGCAAAUAUAUAUAUUAUGCUAAUCCUCGAAGUAAAUAAAAUCCGCUUUUAGUAAGGGAUUAAUUGCUACAUCUCCUUCAAGUUUCCUCUACGUUUUUAGUUUCUGGUAUCACUUACAUGCCAGAUUUCUUCUCUUUUCCUAAGAUCCCUUUCGGUUUAGUUUCUUGUUGGGGAAUCCCCAUUGCUUAGCAGCUCUUGGGUGCAUUCAUGGCAUGUUGGUGAACUUGUGGGGUUUCUACAAUUCAUGGCCCUCACUGGUGUGAUGGCCUAAUACUGUCAGCUAUAUUAUAAGAAAGAGAUGAGGGUCUGAGUCUCCUGUGGAGUACAGCUUUGUGCGGCAUGCCGUAUUGCAAAGCGCAAUGGCUGCAGAGUCUCUGUUGCUCAAGAUCGUGCCCUGGGAGUUUAAUAACUGUACUUAGAAGGUUCAACAACCAAGUAGAACCAAAAAGGGUUUUUCUACCCAGAUUUAGUGGAGUGCUUAUUAUAAUUAGCAUUGCAGCAUGAUAAAUGCCAGCCAGGUACUUGAUGGGGUUUCUGCAACAUGCUGCAUCCAGCUGUGCUCCAGGCUGGUGACAAGGAGGAAUAGGCACUGGUCUGCAUCUUCCCCUGAAGUACAGCCCAGUACAACAGCAGGGAUGAUGGCACAGCGUGGAGCAGCCAGCACCACUGGGAUGAACUAGUGCAUGGGGCAGAAUGGGGAUGGAGAAAAGUCCCAAGUGAUUAUUUAUGCUGACCAUGCUAUUCUUUACUAGCUACAGCCACCAGGGAGAUGAGAUGUCAGCGUCAUGAUGGGUUCAACAUGCUCAAUAUGUGUUAAAAAGGCCAAGAGCAGGUGGAGAAUUUUUCAUAAAGGAACAGAGACCAAAACAUUGAGUCAUCCUGCUACUGUUAAUUCAGUGGUGCAUUCCCAUGCUAAGUACUCCAGCUGGUUCUCAUUCCCCUCACUCCUCUGUUCUCACCUUCAGAAUAUAUGUUCCUAAAUCUAGGAGGAGACAGAGAGGAGGAGAUAAGGAUCUGGAAGAGAUUUCCUGUGAGGGAGAGUACCUAGUCUACUAUUUUCACUGAAGAAGGUGCCUGAUUUGGUGGAAUGUAAGAAAUAUCUAAAGAAUAAUUAUUCCUUUUUCACUUUCUAUGCACAAGUCAGUCACAGAUUCUGAUAAGCAAAGAGUAGGAUGACACUCAAGAAGUUAUUAUAUAACAAGUUUAGAACCGCACAGCUUUCUGACUAUGACGCACCACUAAGUUUGGGAAGUCAUUGCUUACAGGGUGCAGAGAAGCCCCAAAAUAUGCCUGGGCUCAGCAGGCUGCCCAGAGGAGCUGUGGGUGCCCCAUCCCUGGCAGUGCCCAAGGCCAGGCUGGAUGGGUCUGGGGGCAGCCUGGGCUGG